rnacentral:rRNA from 1 species
GAAUAUUGCACAAUGGGCGCAAGCCUGAUGCAGCGACGCCGCGUGUGGGAUGAAGGUGCUACGCCUCGUAAACCACUGUAGCCCGGGACGAAAAACGCCUUAGAGGCGUUAGACGGUACCGGGAAAGUAAGGGUCGGCUAACUACGUGCCAGCAGCCGCGGUAAUACGUAGGACCCAAGCGUUGUCCGGAUUUAAUGGGUGUAAAGGGUGCGCAGGCGGAUGGGUAAGUCCGGGGUGAAAGUCUGCAGCUUAACUGUAGAAUUGCCUUUGAUACUGCUCAUCUUGAAUGUGGGAGAGGUUGAUGGAAUUCCAGGUGUAGCAGUGAAAUGCGUAGAUAUCUGGAAGAACGCCAGUGGCGAAGGCGGUCAACAGGCCCAUAACUGACGCUCAUGCACGAAAGCGUGGG